rnacentral:rRNA from 1 species
AACGCUGGCGGCGCGCUUAACACAUGCAAGUCGAGCGAGAACCAGGACUUCGGUCCUGGGGACAGCGGCGAACGGGUGAGUAACACGUGGGUAAUCUGCCCUCGAUUCUGGGAUAGCCCGGGGAAACCCGGAUUAAUACCGGAUAGCGUUCCGCGCUCUCGGGCUCGGAAGAAAAGGUAGCUUCGGCCUCCGAUCGAGGAUGAGCCCGCGGUGGAUUAGCUUGUUGGCGGGGUAAUGGCCCACCAAGGCGACGAUCCAUAGCUGGUCUGAGAGGACGAUCAGCCACACUGGGACUGAGACACGGCCCAGACUCCUACGGGAGGCAGCAGUGGGGAAUCUUGCGCAAUGGGCGAAAGCCUGACGCAGCGACGCCGCGUGGGGGAAGAAGGCCUUAGGGUUGUAAACCUCUUUCAGGCGGGACGAAGCCACUCGGGUGAAUAGCCCAGAGGGUGACGGUACCGCCAGAAGAAGCCCCGGCUAACUACGUGCCAGCCGCCGCUGUAAGAC